rnacentral:lncRNA from 1 species
UCCUGUCUUAUGCGGAACAUUGUAUGAUUUUUACCAAAUAAAAAUAACCAUCAUAGAAAUCAGAGGUUCAGAUGCUAAUAUUACAUAUUAAAAUAAUAAGAAACAGAAACAUAAAUAGACAAUAUCAACCUAACUUCAAUCAGAACAACUCGAAAUAAGGAAUAUACAAGUGUAUACAUCAAAAUUAAUUCAAAGUUCAAUCACGUAUUGAUGUGUAUCGAAUAGAGAGAACAAAGUGAAGAUUCUAACCUACAACCGCGGUCUCCGGAGCUUCGCAAAUGAUCCGUCCAACACGACGGACGAGUCUAGAAGCACUCAAACUCACCGAUCCACUAAAUCGAGUCGACUGGAUCCUAAGUCCUCUAGAUUCCGGCAACUUAACUGAACUCCGGCCACCCGACAGCGCAAAAACGGAAGAACUGGCGAUUGGAGGAAAGGAGGUCGCCGCCAGAAAACUGGAAGCCCGAGGGAUUUUUAGGGUUUCAAGCACAGCAGCAGCCAUGGGAAGUAUAUGAAAAGAAGAGAGAAAAUCCGAUGGAGUUUACUGGUUUUGUGGCUGUGGGUUUGAUGGAGUGAGUUUGGUUGGAUAAACAAUUGGAGUGAGAUAAUGAGGCUUUAAUCUUAACCAUCAGAUCCAAUGGCCCAAAAUUAAUACAGUACUAACGUCCGGUACAUUUUGUACCGGACCCCUCGAUCCUUCUUGACUUCCUUUUUGGGACACCGGAAAGUAUUACAUGAAAAUUCAUUCCGUAAAGUAGUCGGCAAUUGAUUAUCAAUACUAUUUGCUUCAGCUUCAGGUACCCUCAUUCUCUAUCUUCUAGUCUCUUCUAAUUUAACCAUUAUUUUUGUUAAAAUAGUUUCACAAAAUGAAGUUCUGUUUAAUAUUAGUGGAGAUUUUGCUUUGUUUUUUAGCGAGCUGAUUGAAUUAAGUUGAAGUUUCAGUAUUUUUACAUUUAUUGGUGAUGAAUAUUUAGUUGUCAAAAUUUGAGGUUUUAUUAAACAGUAUAAACAAGUAAAUUUGCAGCUGCAAGGGGUCAAAUCCUACUCUGGAAAAUGGUUUUUGUGGGUGCAGGCAAGGAAAUGCUCAAUUAUGGUUUCGAAUUGGCGGAGGAGAGAAAUCUAUGGAGUAUAGGUCGCAGUCGAAAGUUCGAAGAGGGAGAAGAACGGGUAGGUGAUCACCAAGGCAACAUGUGACAGAACUCUAGAGAUAGUCUUCUUGUGUGUCUUCGAGAGUGAAGAAUCAAAAGGCUCCUCUCUUGGAAGGAGAGGGCUAUUUAUAGGAGAGGCAUUCUCUGGUAAUUAAUCAUGCACCUGGCACAUGAUUAGGCCAUGUGGCUGGUAUUUGACUUCAAAUUAACUACUGGAAAUGCCGUUGUUGCCUUAAGUGAUGCCUAGGUCCUUCUGUCUUUCUAGCUACUAAUCCAAAUCUAUCAAUCAUUUUCCAAUAGAAGCUGCCUCCAUAAGCUUUCUACCAAGGAACAUACGGAGGCCUCUUCGGUCUUUAUAUCAAUGAUUUGCUCCUUUGAUCAAAUCACGCUUCCACUUUCGUACCUCUUCAAAACACCGCAACUUAGAGGUUUCAUUGGCGAAGGACCCCAAGGGAGGCCUCGGCGAGCCCUACGGGUGUCGAUAGGGUUGUAAAUGUAGUCCAAAAUAUUUGAUAUUCGCUUCGAAAAUUCGUAUUUGUAUUUGCGUCAAAGCGGAUCCGUAUUCAGGUCAAAGCGAAUAUUAUCUGUAUUCGUAUUUGUCCAAAGCGGAUACGGAUACAGAUAUAUGCAUAUUCGUAUUCAUUAAUAUCCGUAUGCGUAAUAUAUAUAUGGCUGAAUAUAUGUAUAUAUACAUACAUACAUAUACAUAUAUAAACUCUCAUUUAAUAUUAGUAUACAAUAUAUGAAAGUAGUAACAACAAUUGAUUAUACAUCUUUUAUGUCUAUUGUAUGAUAUACGAUAUAAAAAAGAUACGUAUGUAUAUUGUAUCUAGUUUUAUUAGUUUAUUUGGUUGAUUAUAUAUUGUUGGGGCGUGAUUAUUUAGGUCCGGAUGAUUUGGU